ncrna:Vibrio harveyi PAGEV RNA
CUCUGUUUGGAUUCAAGAUGUUUUGGACAGAGCGAUGCGCAUCAGCUACCGAUCAAGGGAAGUUCCAAAGGUGGCAGGUAAAGGCACUAAUCAAAACUUGCGAAAGCACGAUAAAACCGCUCUCUUGUAGCUGCUAGAGAGAGAACUGCGGAAAAGGAAUAAUUGAUUAGUGUUGUGAGACUGGAAUGGGGGCGUAAAGCCUUACUCACAGCGCAGGG